GAGUUGAACCUGUUUGAAUUUCGAUUCGAUCACUCUGCCGGUUCAAUUAGCGGUCUGAGUUUUAAAACAUUUUAUUAUAUCUCAGCAGACAAAAAUUUCAUGGUGUCAAUGUCUUCAAUCUCCAUUUGACAGCCGACGUUUUGCGGCCUAUCAUUCGAUGAAUCAAAUGGCGCUUGUGCAUUCACAAAAAUCACCAGCCCACCGUCUCCUCUUCUGCAAUAUCAGGGGCCACACAACGUCAUUGUGAGCAGUAAGUGCCGUGCGGUUAUAAUCACGUAGUAUGCUUUAAUUUCACCACAGUUCUCUAAGCCUACAUAUUCUCACCGUCCAGCGCUGUCUUACGUGGAACUCUCAUUAUGCUUGCUGACGUCCUUUUCUACGAAUAAAUAAACCUCAAUAAUUGACUUCCUAAUUCAACCUUUGCCAUCAUACAUUCCCAAAAUUGCACAAACUUUAGACGUUGACGAUGUUGCCCCCACCUCAAUUCCACCCACAUCGUAGACGUGGCACUUCUGUAAUUGUCAUCUUUUUCUUGGACUACAAUUGCAUCAUAUUAUAUGUAUUACUAAUAUAAUAAUUUUUUUUUCCUAGUCUGUGCCUUAAUAUAAAUAUUAUGUACAUAUAAAACAUGGUGACAAGAAGGACAAAAAAGUAAUUUCGAUAAGACAAGAAGUUGGCUUCAAAGUGUUUUACUCGCUUACCUCUGCUCGUUUACCGCAUGUGCCGCACACGUGUCUCGCCCAAUCAUUCACAUAAUCCAAACGCUGCAGUUAGUACCCAUCGACGAUCUUGACACGUAAUCCUUCCAUCAAGCUGAUCACAGCCGUCAGAUUGAAGAGCCGGAGGAUAAUCUAAAUUGACCAUUUUACCCUACAUCGACUAUAUAUUUGCCCACCUGAGGAACUAGGCAAGAAAUUAGAGAAGAGAGGCGACUAGAGAGCUCUCGUUGGUUUAGCUCGCCAACCCUAGUGAAAGCCCUUAUUUCUUUGCCUUCCUCUACUGCCCCAGUUGCGAAUGCAGAGAGAUGAGAAUUGCUUCGCUUCUUAACCCCCAUUUGGGCGGCGGAAGGUCCCAAAAACAACCCACCGGCGGCAGGAAUUGCCACCGGAAACAC
rnacentral:lncRNA from 1 species